UCCCUCGUGGCGCAAUUGGCUAGCGCGUUCGACUGUUAGCAGGUUCAUCUGAUUAAUAUCUGAUAAAUUCUGGUAUCGAGAGGUUGGUGGUUCGAGCCCACCCGAGGGAG